rnacentral:rRNA from 1 species
GACGGGGGGGCAAGUGUUCUUCGGAAUGACUGGGCGUAAAGGGCACGUAGGCGUGAAUCGGGUUGAAAGUGAAAGUCGCCAAAAAGUGGCGGAAUGCUCUCGAAACCAAUUCACUUGAGUGAGACAGAGGAGAGUGGAAUUUCGUGUGUAGGGGUGAAAUCCGUAGAUCUACGAAGGAACGCCAAAAGCGAAGGCAGCUCUCUGGGUCCCUAC